GUUAAUUUGGCAGAUUUUAUGUUUUAAGUUUAGAACUUAUUUAUUAAUGUUAAUA
rnacentral:tRNA from 1 species